UGGGGAAUUUUCGCAAUGGGUGCAAGCCUGACGAAGCAACGCCGCGUGGAGGAUGAAGGUCUUCGGAUUGUAAACUCCUGUCGACCGGGACGAAUGCACCCGACCUAAUACGUCGAAGUGUUGACGGUACCGGUGGAGGAAGCCACGGCUAACUCUGUGCCAGCAGCCGCGGUAAUACAGAGGUGGCAAGCGUUGUUCGGAAUUACUGGGCGUAAAGGGCGCGUAGGCGGCCUUAUAAGUCUCGUGUGAAAGCCCUCGGCUUAACUGAGGAUCUGCACGGGAUACUGUAAGGCUCGAGUUCGGGAGAGGAAAGCGGAAUUCCGGGUGUAGCGGUGAAAUGCGUAGAUAUCCGGAGGAACACCAGUGGCGAAGGCGGCUUUCUGGACCGACACUGACGCUGAGGCGCGAAAGCUAGGGGAGCAAACGGGAUUAGAUACCCUUGUAGUCCCUGAGCGGGCUGGCAAGGCGCAU
rnacentral:rRNA from 1 species